CCUGUCUCACUAGAGGUUCUCAGCCAAUUCAGGCUGAAUUACAUGGGACCCAUACCUCUCCCCUGAAGGCCCUGCUGAGACCUUCCCUGUCCAGUGAACUUCGCCCUCCCCUUCCACGCUGGUCACCGUGAUUGACACAUAACAAAAGAGGAUGGUAAACAAAUUUAUGGAGCACCUCUGAUGUGCCAGACAGUUACACCGUUAACUCACAACAGUGCUGUGAAGUGGGUAUCAGCUCCAUUUGACAGAUGAGAACACUGAGUCUCAGAGAGGUGAAGUCAGGUGACGCACACUGGGAUGGGCCCCCGUUGGCCAGGACGCUGUCUUCCCUGAGUUCUGCCUACUCCCUGCCUAGCAGUUGAAGCCAGGACUUAAGUCAGACACUGCCUAGUGUGAACACUGGUUUGACCCUCAGUGUUUAAAAACAAUCUGACGUGAAAGACCUCAAUGGCGCCCACAGGGGUCUGUGUCAGCACACCUGGACCAGGCCAGAGCAAUGGCCCCCACCAGCGUCUCAGUCUCCGGAGAGGUCCUUCCUCUCACCAGGAUGCCCCCAGAGCCCACCAGCCUUGAACACAGAUGAGAUGCCUGGAACGCUGUCUUGCAACCAUGAGGUGACUUUCUUGAGGGCAAGAGGCCAACAUUCUUACUAGAAUGGUGAAGUGGAAGGUGGAAGGAGCCUAGAUCCUCGAAGACACCAUUGGGCCACCACACCAGUUCCAGAACACCACUUCCCAGCCUCGUGUUAAAUGAGAAAAACAACCUCCGUCUAUUUAAGCCAGAUUUCCUGUGAACUGUGGACGAAAGCAUUUCUCCCUGAUACACCCAUUGCUGUUAAGGGCAAAUGAGUAUAUAUGGGAUUGUGCUUUGGAAGCUGGGAACCAACAGAAACAUUUCAGGUGACAUUUGCU
rnacentral:lncRNA from 1 species